CAGCGAGCACGGCGCUGCUUCAUCGCAUCCCUGCCCGCGUUUCCCUCGGCCAGGAGCAGCCUCGGGGAGCUCCUCGCUGUGCUCCGGCUCGCAGCAUUCAGACUCCAGCUUCAACUUGUGCAUCUCCAGGGGAUGCAGAGAUUUCUGCUGAGAAGUUUGGAAACCCAAACAUCACCCACAAAUGAUCAGGCUCACUGACAAAGGCCAGCUGCAGUCUCAGAGGGACCAGGAUUCCCACAUUCCUUAUUCCUGAAGUGGAAAUGAGCUUGUGCUGGACAAAGCAGGGAGAUGAUGCCUCCAGACCAAGAUGAUGCUGGAAGGAAGGAGCUUUGAGCAGCCUCUCCCUGCAAGCUGCACCUUCUUUGUGGAAGAACAGGAUGAACAAGAACUGCCAGCCCAGAGUCCUUCAUGCACAGCCAGGCAGCUCCUGCUCAGCCACCCCCUCUGCAAAACACAGCAGCUCCUGCAAUCAAAGGGAAACGUGGCCUUUUUUUGUCCUUGGUCUCAUUUUCUGCAAGGUACCUAGGGAGAGAUCAGCUCCAAAGACUCCUUGCCUGGGAAUUUUGUGCCAGCUCAGCUAGUACUAAGGGUUUCACUGAGCUCCAUGUCUAUUAAAAAUGCAUAAUGUCCAUUUAUAUCAAAAGGGUGGAUUCAGACCCAGUGCUUUUCCAGCUUGUCCCAGGCUGUUAUGGCAUGCUGGAGAUGGAUAGGAGGGAUCUGUCCCUUGAGGCCCAUAUCAGAAUGAGAAAAGGGCAAAUUCACUGAAUAUUUCAGGGAAAAAAAUAAAAAUGAGAAGAGGCAUAAAAAUGCUCCUGCCACAAAACCUAAACAC